UGGGGUUGUGGCUCAGUGGUAGAGUUUUCACCUAGAAUGUGUAAGGCACUGGGUUUGAUCCUCAGCACCACAA
rnacentral:tRNA from 1 species